rnacentral:rRNA from 1 species
GCUGGCGGCGGCUUAACACAUGCAAGUCGAGCGCCCCGCAGGGGAGCGGCAGACGGGUGAGUAACGCGUGGGAAUCUACCCAACUCUACGGAAUAACUCAGGGAAACUUGUGCUAAUACCGUAUACGCCCUUCGGGGGAAAGAUUUAUCGGAGUUGGAUGAGCCCGCGUUGGAUUAGCUAGUUGGUGGGGUAAAGGCCUACCAAGGCGACGAUCCAUAGCUGGUCUGAGAGGAUGAUCAGCCACAUUGGGACUGAGACACGGCCCAAACUCCUACGGGAGGCAGCAGUGGGGAAUAUUGGACAAUGGGCGCAAGCCUGAUCCAGCCAUGCCGCGUGUGUGAUGAAGGCCUUAGGGUUGUAAAGCACUUUCACCGGAGAAGAUAAUGACGGUAUCCGGAGAAGAAGCCCCGGCUAACUUCGUGCCAGCAGCGCCGGGUAAUAA